rnacentral:rRNA from 1 species
UACGUAGGGGGCAAGCGUUGUCCGGAUUUAUUGGGCGUAAAGAGCGUGUAGGCGGCCAGGUAGGUCUGCUGUGAAAACUCGAGGCUCAACCUCGAGACGUCGGCGGAAACCAUCUGGCUAGAGUCCGGAAGAGGAGAGUGGAAUUCCUGGUGUAGCGGUGAAAUGCGCAGAUAUCAGGAAGAACACCAGUGGCGAAGGCGGCGCUCUGGGCCGGAACUGACGCUGAGGAGCGAAAGCGUGGGGAGCAAACAGG